UACAGAGGUCCCAAGCGUUGUUCGGAAUCACUGGGCGUAAAGGGCGCGUAGGCGGCGCAGCAAGUCAGGCGUGAAAGCCCCGGGCUCAACCUGGGAACGGCGCUUGGGACUGUUGUGCUGGAGUUCGGGAGAGGAGAGUGGAAUUCCCAGUGUAGAGGUGAAAUUCGUAGAUAUUGGGAAGAACACCGGUGGCGAAGGCGGCUCUCUGGACCGAGACUGACGCUGAGGCGCGAAAGCGUGGGGAGCAAACAGG
rnacentral:rRNA from 1 species